rnacentral:rRNA from 1 species
GACGAACGCUGGCGGCGUGCUUAACACAUGCAAGUCGAACGGAAAGGCCCCUUUGGGGGUACUCGAGUGGCGAACGGGUGAGUAACACGUGAGUAACCUGCCCUUGACUUCGGGAUAACUUCAGGAAACUGGGGCUAAUACCGGAUAGGAAUCCUUGCUGCAUGGUGGGGGUUGGAAAGCUUCGGCGGUUUUGGAUGGACUCGCGGCUUAUCAGCUUGUUGGUGGGGUAGUGGCUUACCAAGGCUUUGACGGGUAGCCGGCCUGAGAGGGCGACCGGCCACAUUGGGACUGAGAUACGGCCCAGACUCCUACGGGAGGCAGCGGUGGGGAAUAUUGCACAAUGGGCGGAAGCCUGAUGCAGCAACGCCGCGGGCGGGAUGACGGCCUUCGGGUUGUAAACCGCUUUCAGCAGGGGCGAAGCUUGUGGUGACGGUACCUGCAGAAGAAGCACCGGCUAACUACGUG